rnacentral:rRNA from 1 species
AUUGAACGCUGGCGGCAGGCCUAACACAUGCAAGUCGAGCGGCAGCGGGAAAGUAGCUUGCUACUUUUGCCGGCGAGCGGCGGACGGGUGAGUAAUGCCUGGGAAAUUGCCCAGUCGAGGGGGAUAACAGUUGGAAACGACUGCUAAUACCGCAUACGCCUUACGGGGGAAAGCAGGGGACCUUCGGGCCUUGCGCGAUUGGAUAUGCCCAGGUGGGAUUAGCUAGUUGGUGAGGUAAUGGCUCACCAAGGCGACGAUCCCUAGCUGGUCUGAGAGGAUGAUCAGCCACACUGGAACUGAGACACGGUCCAGACUCCUACGGGAGGCAGCAGUGGGGAAUAUUGCACAAUGGGGGAAACCCUGAUGCAGCCAUGCCGCGUGUGUGAAGAAGGCCUUCGGGUUGUAAAGCACUUUCAGCGAGGAGGAAAGGUUGAUGCCUAAUACGUAUCAACUGUGACGUUACUCGCAGAAGAAGCACCGGCUAACUCCGUGCCAGCAGCCGCCGUAACAC